rnacentral:rRNA from 1 species
UACGGAGGGGGGCUAGCGUUGUUCGGAAUUACUGGGCGUAAAGCGCGCGUAGGCGGACCUGCAAGUCGGGGGGUGAAAGCCCGAGGCUCAACCUCGGAACUGCCUUCGAUACUGCGGGUCUCGAGUCCGGGAGAGGUGAGUGGAAUUCCUAGUGUAGAGGUGAAAUUCGAUAGAUAUUAGGAAGAACACCAGUGGCGAAGGCGGCUCACUGGCCCGGUACUGACGCUGAGGCGCGAAAGCGUGGGGAGCAAACAGGG